rnacentral:rRNA from 1 species
UAAGGAAUAUUGGUCAAUGGACGCAAGUCUGAACCAGCCAUGCCGCGUGCAGGAUGACUGCCCUAUGGGUUGUAAACUGCUUUUAUGCGGGAAGAAACCUCAGAACGUGUUCUGAGUUGACGGUACCGUAAGAAUAAGGAUCGGCUAACUCCGUGCCAGCAGCCGCGGUAAUACGGAGGAUCCAAGCGUUAUCCGGAUUUAUUGGGUUUAAAGGGUGCGUAGGCGGGAUAAUAAGUCAGAGGUGAAAUCCUGCAGCUUAACUGUAGAAUUGCCUUUGAUACUGUUAUUCUUGAGUAUACAUGAAGUGGGCGGAAUGUGUCAUGUAGCGGUGAAAUGCAUAGAUAUGACACAGAACACCGAUAGCGAAGGCAGCUCACUAAACUAUAACUGACGCUGAUGCACGAAAGCGUGGGGAUCAAACAGG